GGGGAUUUAGCUCAGCGGCAUAAGCGCCUGCCUUGCAAGCAGGUAGUAGUGAGUUCAAUCCCCG
rfam:Cavia porcellus supercont2_24 genomic scaffold, whole genome shotgun sequence.